GCCCGAGUGGCGGAAUGGUAGACGCAGCGGAUUCAAAAUCCGCCGAUGGUAACAUCGUGGGGGUUCGACUCCCCCCUCGGGCACCA
rnacentral:tRNA from 1 species